AAAAAUAAUAUAAGAUAUUGCAUAUAUUUUUUAAUAAAAUAUAACAUAUUAAUUUAUAAAACAUAAUUUCUAUUAUAAAUUUUUGGAUAAAUAUGAUGUAAAAAUUUAUAUUGAUUUGAAAUAAAUUAAAAUAAUUUUUAUGUUUUGUGCUAUCAAAUUUUCCGCAGUUAGAUUUAACUUUUGACUAUUUUCACCCGUUAAAUUAUACUGUUCAACCAAUAACUCACUCAACCUUAGAGAGCCACAUCAUUCUAACCGUACAUUUUUUUAUCCAAAAGCCGAAAACCUAAUAGCACCAAUAGCUUAGUGCUAUUGCUAGUUUUUACACUUUA
rnacentral:lncRNA from 1 species